UACGUAGGUGGCGAGCGUUGUCCGGAAUUACUGGGUGUAAGGGAGCGCAGGCGGGGGUACAAGUUGGAUGUGAAAUACCGCAGCUCAACUGCGGGGCUGCAUCCAAAACUGUAUCUCUUGAGUGGAGUAGAGGCAGGCGGAAUUCCUAGUGUAGCGGUGAAAUGCGUAGAUAUUAGGAGGAACACCAGUGGCGAAGGCGGCCUGCUGGGCUUUAACUGACGCUGAGGCUCGAAAGCGUGGGGAGCAAACAGG
rnacentral:rRNA from 1 species